rnacentral:rRNA from 1 species
AUAGGUGUAGCUGUGUUGUUUCACCGCCUGAUCGAAUUCCCUUUGAAUAGGGACUUGCCAAAGAGGGUGCUAGACCCGUUCGAUCGGUGAUGUGACAGCAAUGGUUGCUCCUUGGAGUCGGGUUGCUUGAAAGUGCAGCCUAAAGCGGGUGAUAAACUUCAUCUAAGGCUAAAUAUUGAAGGGAAUUCGAUAGCAAACAAGUACCGUGAGGGAAAGUUGCAAAGAACUUUGAAGAGAGAGUUCAAGAGAACGUGAAAUCGUUAAAGUGGAACCGGAGAGAGUUGACGAAGCUUUUGUGGUGAAGAUUUUCGUGAUUGCUUAAUUGUAAUUACGUUUGUUGGAUCUGCUUUUGCUGCGUUGGCAGGGUUGUUGAUGUCUUUUGAAGCGUGUAGUGUUGCCCACAUUGUGGUGUGUUGUUGGUGUGGAAAUUGAUCA